rnacentral:piRNA from 1 species
UACUUGUUAUGCUUGUGCUUUAGGUUGUCU